rnacentral:rRNA from 1 species
GUUUACGGCCAUAUCACGUUGUAAACACCGGUUCUCGUCUGAUCACCGAAGUUAAGCAACGUCGAGCCUAGUUAGUACUUAGAUGGGUGAUCGCUUGGGAAACCUAGGUGCUGUAAGUA